AUUGAACGCUGGCGGCGUGCCUAACACAUGCAAGUCGAGCGGUAACAGGUGUAGCAAUACAUGCUGACGAGCGGCAAACGGGUGAGUAAUGCUUCGGAAUCUACCUUAUGGUGGGGAAUAACUAGCCGAAAGGUUAGCUAAUACCGCAUACGUCCUACGGGAGAAAGCAGGGGAUCGCAAGACCUUGGGCCAAAAGAUGAGCCGAAGUCGGAUUAGCUAGUUGGUAGGGUAACGGCCUACCAAGGCGACGAUCCGUAGCUGGUCUGAGAGGACGACCAGCCACACUGGGACUGAGACACGGCCCAGACUCCUACGGGAGGCAGCAGUGGGGAAUAUUGGACAAUGGGGGAAACCCUGAUCCAGCGACGCCGCGUGUGUGAAGAAGGCCUGCGGGUUGUAAAGCACUUUUAGUGGGGAUGAAAUGUGCAGGGUUAAUACCUCUGCAUUUUGACCUAACCCACAGAAAAAGCACCGGCUAACUCUGUGCCAGCCGCCGCGGUAA
rnacentral:rRNA from 1 species